GCCCUCAGAUUUCUGGGGAUGGAGGGUAUGGGUGCUUACCAACUCACAUGUUUGUGAGCUCAAUUUCUUUUGCCUUUUAAUUUAUUUUUGGCUGCGCUGGAUCUUUGUUGCUGUGUGAGGGCUUUCUCUAGUUGUGGUGAGCAGGGGCUGCUCUCUAGGUGCAGUGCUCAGGCUUCUCGCUGUGGUGGCUUCCCUUGUUGGGGAGUAAGGGUUCUAGGUGUGUGGGCUCUGCAAUUGCUUGUGAGCCCAAUUUCUUUGAAAAUCAGGUGUCCAGCCACUGUGAGCUCAAGCUGGCCAUGCUUACCAGUGGAGGGACAUACCACCUAGAGCAAGCCACUCAGCCAGAGAUCUGCAAUGGUGCAGCCACUUUGAGACCUCCUGGCCUGUAACUGCUGGCAUGAGCUCUCCCUGAAGUGUCAAGGACAUCCUAAAUUCCUAAAAUUCAAAGACCAAAUCUGGUGCCAAAUUUUUGUGCUGAGAAAUUUCUAGCUUGGGUUUGGGGAACACGGGUGGUUUCCUGGGUUCAACAAAUAAUCAAGAUUCUCUCCAGGAAGUCAUCACUGAUACCCAGGUCAGAGACUGGUGUAGGAUGCAGCACAGUAGGAACUCAGCUACAAGCCAUUGAUGUAUUAGCUUGAACUUUUCCCGGAUGAGGUUCGUUUUGCUACUUUUUCUUCAAACCUCUGAGGCAGCAGAUUCAAGAAUGCAGACUUCUGAGGGGAACUUGAUCGUCUCAGAGCCUUCAGCCAAGACAGCUAGGUCCAUCAGACUUUCCCACUGGUGCUGUGUGAGAACUGCUCCUUUAAGAAGUGGACAAAUUUGGGUUCCAACUCCAAACCUCAGUUGGAAGUUCAAGCCACAAUUGGAACACUCAUGUCCUGCCCAGAAAGCUGCCCUAACCUUGAGCUGACGUUCUCCUACAAAUCCAUCCCACGCAAACACAAACAUCUCCUUUUAAACAUUGAAGUCUCAGAGCCUCCACCCUGAAAAGGAAGUGGAAAGCCAAGUUCUGGGCUCCCUCGGCUUCCCUAGUCUGACCAGUCAGCUGACCAGAAGCAGCGGCAGGGGACAGUGUGGGUUUGCCCAACACAAUGCCAGUGAGAAUUCCUUCAUGAUCACUGAGAAGACGUCAUC
ensembl:lncRNA